GGAAGUGGGUAACGACUCGGAAAUUCGUUUGCUUUGCUUCACAAGUCGAGAGAGAGAUUCCAGGUUGAAGCUUUUGCGGUAGAAACCAUGAGGAUCGUGCGUAAAGACUAUGUCCGUAAUGGACCCGGAAGCGUUAAGAUGGUGCCGGUUGAUUCGGAUGAUUUGUGGUUUGCUUAUAAUCUGAUUGCUCCUGGAGAUUCAGUUAUGGCCGCCACUGUCAGGAAGGUACUGAGAGAAGCGGCUUCUGGAGGUAGAGAUGCCGAGCGAAUUAAGCUGAAGUUGGAGAUAACAGUCGAGGCUGUGGAUUAUGAUAAAGUGGGGUCUGUCUUGCGUAUUCGUGGAAAGAACAUUCUUGAGAAUGAAUACGUAAAGAUGGGUGCAUUCCACACUUUAGAACUUGAGCUGAAUCGGCCAUUCGUGUUGAGAAAGAAGGUCUGGGAUUCACUUGCAUUAGAUGUACUCCAUCAGGCCUCUGACCCUGGAGCAAGUGCUGAUCUUGCUGUGAUUUUGAUGCAAGAAGGAUUGGCACAUAUCUUCCUUAUUGGUAGAAGCAUGACAACUACUCGUUCUCGGAUAGAAACGUCAAUUCCUCGCAAACACGGACCUGCUAUAGCAGGUUAUGAGACGGCUCUGAAAAAGUUCUUUGAGAACGUUUUACAGGCUUUCCUGAAGCAUGUUGACUUUAAUGUAGUACGAUGUGCUGUUAUUGCCAGUCCAGGCUUCACAAAGGAUCAAUUUCAUAAGCAUCUAUUAUUGGAGGCAGAGAGAAGGCAGUUGAGGCCUAUCAUAGAGAACAAAUCGCGGAUAAUGCUUGUUCAUACAAGCUCGGGAUACAAGCAUAGUUUAAGAGAGGUUUUGGAUGCCCCAAAUGUCAUGAAUAUGAUAAAAGACACUAAAGCAGCUCAAGAGGUCAGAGCUCUCAAGGAUUUCUUUGACAUGCUUUCAAAUGUCAGGACCCGGCCCGGGCAUGCUAUGGACCUAAGCAUGUGGAGGUUGCCCAUGAUAGAAUGGCUGUCCAGACACUCCUCAUCACUGACGAUCUCUUCAGAAAUGCCGAUGUAGAGAUGAGGCAAAAGUACGUCAAUUUGGUCAACUCAGUGAAGGAUUCAGGAGGCACUGCUCAUAUAUUUUCAUCCAUGCAUGUGUCGGGAGAACAACUUGCACAGUUGACUGGGAUUGCAGCCAUUCUUCGCUUCCCUCUACCUGACCUCGAAGAUAUAGAGAUGUGAUCCUGUCAUUGCGAUAAACUCGGAGGAAGACACUACAUAAGACGAGGAAGAUGCAACUUGUGUACAUAGUCUGUCGUCAGUUUCUGAGGGAAGACACAAUAAAAGAAGAUUUUUGUCAAAAGUUGUUCUAAUUAUGAACAGAAUGAGGAAUUUGCAUUGUAGCAAUCCUCUGGCCAUGUGUUUUGUGUAUCAAAGGAUGUGGCUUAUUGUGCCAUGUGAUGGUUGUGGCAUUGCAUGUCUCAUUCUCUUGGAUAAAUCACCAGUUAUUCGUCGUAACUUUCAUAAUA